GCGAAUGUAACUCAAGCGGGUAGAGCAACAGCCUUCCAAGCUGCAUGUAGCCGGUUACAGACCGGCCGUCCGCU
rnacentral:tRNA from 1 species